rnacentral:rRNA from 1 species
UAAGACGGAGGUCCCUAGCGUUGUUCGGAAUCACUGGGCUUAAAGCGCGUGUAGGCGGGAUGGCAAGUACCUUGUGAAAUCCCCGGUCUCAACCCGGGAACUGCUCGGUAUACUGUCAUUCUUGAGGCAGGUAGGGGUCACUGGAACCUUAGGUGGAGCGGUGAAAUGCGUAGAUAUCUAAGGGAACGCCUGUGGCGAAAGCGGGUGACUGGGCCUGUCCUGACGCUGAGACGCGAAAGCGUAGGGAGCAAACGGGAUUAGAUACCCCGGUAGUCUACGCCGUAAACGAUGCGCACUAGGUUCGAGGACCACUGACGGUACUCGAGCCGAAACAAAAGCGAUAAGUGCGCCGCCUGGGGAGUACGGCCGCAAGGCUA